GUAACAGUUUUGGAGAGUGAAGCCCUCUGUUUAUCCACAGAGCUGAUACAGCCUGGGCAGUGGCAGGGCAAGUUUCCCGCACGGUGCCCUGACUGUGAUUUUUAGGGUGUGUGUCCACAGCAAAUGAAUGUGUGAUUGUAGUAUGUGUGUGCUUACUCACAGGAGCCUUAAUCUAGCUAAC
ensembl:misc_RNA